rnacentral:rRNA from 1 species
GCUCAACCGAAGAAGUGCAUCGGAAACUGGGAAACUUGAGUGCAGAAGAGGACAGUGGAACUCCAUGUGUAGCGGUGAAAUGCGUAGAUAUAUGGAAGAACACCAGUGGCGAAGGCGGCUGUCUGGUCUGUAACUGACGCUGAGGCUCGAAAGUAUGGGUAGCAAACAGGAUUAGAUACCCUGGUAGUCCAUACCGUAAACGAUGAAUGCUAAGUGUUGGAGGGUUUCCGCCCUUCAGUGCUGCAGCUAACGCAUUAAGCAUUCCGCCUGGGGAGUACGGCCGCAAGGCUGAAACUCAAAGGAAUUGACGAGGGCCCGCACAAGCGGUGGAGCAUGUGGUUUAAUUCGAAGCUACGCGAAGAACCUUACCAGGUCUUGACAUACUAUGCAAAUCUAAGAGAUUAGACGUUCCCUUCGGGGACAUGGAUACAGGUGGUGCAUGGUUGUCGUCAGCUCGUGUCGUGAGAUGUUGGGUUAAGUCCCGCAACGAGCGCAACCCUUAUUAUCAGUUGCCAGCAUUAAGUUGGGCACUCUGGUGAGACUGCCGGUGACAAACCGGAGGAAGGUGGGGAUGACGUCAAAUCAUCAUGCCCCUUAUGACCUGGGCUACACACGUGCUACAAUGGAUGGUACAACG